AGUUUGAUCCUGGCUCAGGAUGAACGCUGGCGGUAUGCUUAACACAUGCAAGUCGAACGGUCUCUUCGGAGAUAGUGGCGGACGGGUGAGUAACGCGUGAGAAUCUGGCUCUGGGUUCGGGACAACCACUGGAAACGGUGGCUAAUACCGGAUAUGCCGAAAGGUGAAAGAUUAAUUGCCCGGAGAUGAGCUCGCGACCGAUUAGCUAGUUGGUGGGGUAAGGGCCUACCAAGGCGACGAUCGGUAGCUGGUCUGAGAGGACGAUCAGCCACACUGGGACUGAGACACGGCCCAGACUCCUACGGGAGGCAGCAGUGGGGAAUUUUCCGCAAUGGGCGAAAGCCUGACGGAGCAAUACCGCGUGAGGGAGGAAGGCUCUUGGGUUGUAAACCUCUUUUCUGAGGGAAGAAGAAUGACGGUACCUCAGGAAUAAGCAUCGGCUAACUCCGUGCCAGCAGCCGCGGUAAUACGGAGGAUGCAAGCGUUAUCCGGAAUGAUUGGGCGUAAAGCGUCCGCAGGUGGUGAUGCAAGUCUGCUGUUAAAGAGUGUAGCUUAACUACAUAAAGGCGGUGGAAACUGCAUGACUAGAGUACGUUCGGGGCAGAGGGAAUUCCUGGUGUAGCGGUGAAAUGCGUAGAUAUCAGGAAGAACACCGGUGGCGAAAGCGCUCUGCUAGGCCGUAACUGACACUGAGGGACGAAAGCUAGGGGAGCGAAUGGGAUUAGAUACCCCAGUAGUCCUAGCCGUAAACGAUGGAUACUAGGCGUUGCUUGUAUCGACCCGAGCAGUGCCGUAGCUAACGCGUUAAGUAUCCCGCCUGGGGAGUACGCACGCAAGUGUGAAACUCAAAGGAAUUGACGGGGGCCCGCACAAGCGGUGGAGUAUGUGGUUUAAUUCGAUGCAACGCGAAGAACCUUACCAAGACUUGACAUGUCCGGAAGCUCUUAGAAAUAGGAGUGUGCCUUCGGGAGCCGGAACACAGGUGGUGCAUGGCUGUCGUCAGCUCGUGUCGUGAGAUGUUGGGUUAAGUCCCGCAACGAGCGCAACCCUCGUCCUUAGUUGCCAUCAUUUAAGUUGGGCACUCUAGGGAGACUGCCGGUGACAAACCGGAGGAAGGUGGGGAUGACGUCAAGUCAUCAUGCCCCUUACGUCUUGGGCUACACACGUACUACAAUGCGAUGGACAAAGGGCAGCUAACCAGCGAUGGCAAGCAAAUCCCAUAAACCAUGGCUCAGUUCAGAUCGCAGGCUGCAACUCGCCUGCGUGAAGUAGGAAUCGCUAGUAAUUGCAGGUCAGCAUACUGCAGUGAAUUCGUUCCCGGGCCUUGUACACACCGCCCGUCACACCAUGGAAGCUGGUCACGCCCGAAGUCGUUACCCUAACCUGCAAGGGAGGGGGACGCCGAAGGUAGGACUGGUGACUGGGGUGAAGUCGUAACAAGGUAGCCGUACCGGAAGGUGUGGCUGGAUCACCUCCUUUUAGGGAGACCUACCCAAAUCGAACCGAAAGCCCACAAAGGUAAUUAGGUAAGAGAUGGUCACUCAAGGUCGGACACGGAAUGUAGAGAGAAAACUUUCAAACUAUAAAAUUGGGUUCACUGAUAAGGGCUAUUAGCUCAGGUGGUUAGAGCGCACCCCUGAUAAGGGUGAGGUCCCUGGUUCGAGUCCAGGAUGGCCCAUCUAACACACAGAGUGAAGGCUCGAUGUGGAGAGAAAUGGAAUUCAGCACCGAAACAGUGAAUAACUGUGCGAAUGCUGGAUACUCCAGCCAGAACCUUGAAAACUGCAUAUUCACGCAAAAUAGCAGGCAGUUGACACUGAGAAAUCAGUGAAAAUUGCACAGACACUAAUGAUGAGUGGUCAAGCUACAAAGGGCUGAUGGUGGAUACCUAGGCACACAGA
rnacentral:rRNA from 2 species